CGCGUAGGCGGUCCGCUAAGUUGGAUGUGAAAACUCUGGGCUUAACCCAGAGCCUGCAUUCAAAACUGACGGGCUAGAGUUCUGGAGGGGGUAGCGGAAUUCCUGGUGUAGCGGUGAAAUGCGUAGAUAUCAGGAGGAACACCGGUGGCGAAGGCGGCUACCUGGACAGAAACUGACGCUGAGGCGCGAAAGCUAGGGGAGCAAACAGGAUUAGAUACCCUGGUAGUCCUAGCCCUAAACGAUGGAUACUUGGUGUGACUGGGAUUGAAUCCAGUCGUGCCGAAGCUAACGCAUUAAGUAUCCCGCCUGGGGAGUACGGUCGCAAGGCUGAA
rnacentral:rRNA from 1 species